CGCGGGCUCUCGGUGUCUGCUCGCAGGCAGAAAAUGUGAGUUAAUGUUGGGAAGACUCCUGGAUGGAGAGAGAGCGAGAGCGGAGCGGAGGAGAGAGAGAGGAGGUAUUUGUAGUAUUUCGGUGCCUUGCUAAAGGGCACCUCGGCAGUGCCCAGGAGUUGAACUGAAACCUCUCCAGCUACCAGUCCACCUCCAUACUACCCUCCCAAGCCAAGUCUCGAUGAACUGAGCUACUGAAGACAAUUAAAUCAUACACAGCUGUAUAUACAACUUUUGGCUCCAGACAACAAGACACCCUGAUAAUCAUGCAUGUGUCUGUCUAAACACAGCAUAGGAGUGGUAGUUUCCGAGCAGCACCUGAACGCCUCGGCGCUGUCCCGCGUCACGUGACAGAGGUGCGUUUACUU